UAGUUUACUAUCCGUCCUCAGGCUAACAAAUUGUUCUUACAUUGUAAGAAUGUAAGAGCAAUUUGUUAGCCUGAGGACGGAUAGUAAACUA